rnacentral:piRNA from 1 species
UACAAUGUUCUUACCUUGACAAGAGGCUA